rnacentral:lncRNA from 10 species
GUUUUGCAGAAAACAAAAAGACAAAAAUAAGACAACAAGAAAUAAGAAACAAAAAGAAAAAGAAAAGAAGACAACUCACUUUGUACCUUUGACACAUUCUCUACAGAUUGCCUUUCAUGGAUAUAGGGCCAUUUGCAGUCAGCUACAUUCCCUACAAAAAGGUUCAAGGCCCUAAUAUGAAUAGACAAAUGCUGAAAUCUCAACAAAGCAUAUGUUUGCUUCUUGCUCACAUGUCCGAUGCAGUUCAAUAGAAGCUUGCCUCCAUCUGAUGACCUAGGAAUCUAGGCUCUUUCCAUGUUUUAAUACUGCCAUCUCAACAUGUGGCUUUCAAGGUCAUUUUGACUGAGGAAGGAAGAUGUGGAGAAGACUCAGUGGCUCCUAACUGCUUUGACGCAGAUUUCUUGGCCCUUAUAACACCAACAGACAGAGGAUGAUAACGUAGAUGGUGUUUAGAAACAUGAAAUUCCCUUAGUAUUAAGACAGCCAGCAAAUGGGACAAAAACGUGGUUCUCAAUCUUGGCUGUAUACUGCAAUCACCUAAGGGAGUUUUAAAAUAAUGAUGCCAAGAUUACACUUCCAGGGUGUCUGAUUUAAUUGGACUGGGGAAGGAUCUCAACAUCAGGAUUUUUUAAAGUUAUCCCAGAUUUCACAGAAGGCAAAGAUGAACAAUGAGGACUAGAAGACUCACCAGCUUUGUGGAGACAUGGAACUUGAAUUGAAUACAGAUAACAGGAUUUGGGUAGACUUGCAUAAAAGAGCAUUCAAAGUGAAUAAGAGAGAAUAUACAAAUGGAAGACUAACCAGUGAUGGAAACAAACAAACAAAUAAAGACAGGGGCUUUGUAUACCAAUCAAACAUGUUCUAUUUGACCUGAAGGAUAUUUUAAUAAGGAAAUUUCACACAAAAAUCCAUAUUUUCAGCUUCUCUUGGAAGAGCAGAUCUGACAACAAUGGCUCAUAGCACCUAAAUGGCAAAAGCUAGUGAGGUUGACCCUUGAUAUACUCCAUGCUUUCUCCAGUGUACCUCAAUACGUAGAACUUUCUGAUGUUUCCCCCACCUGGCCUGCUUUACACACUUAUGGUAUUUUUCUAUGCCUCCAGGUAUUAAUUUGAAUAUGUAACCCUUGGAUAUGGGUCAUAUAAGAUAAAGUGAAGGGAAUGAGAACAAAUUUAAGUGAUUGGAUGAGGCCAUCUGAUACUCCCAAUUUUAGAGAAAAAAUAUUUUACUUCAUCUUUUGGACUCUAAAGAAUCUAAUUCUAUGUCACUCAAGUAUUAAUUUGAAUAUGCAGCCCUUGGAUAUGGGUCGUACAAGACAAAGUGGAGGGAAUUAUAACAGAAGAUAGAAAAUAAAUGAAGACAGUUAAUACUUUUAAUGCCUCAUAACAGUUUAAAUGCAUUUAUUUUAUCAAACCUAAGUUAAAGACUCUUCAAAUAAGCAUGGGAAAUCAUGUAAUGUAUAUGUAAAAUAAAGUAUCCCAAAUCUGGAAGCAUUUAUACUCCCUAAUAUUAUAAAAUGAACUUUGUAUUAAAGUUCAAGAAGUUCAAGAAGAAAAUUACAAUGUCUACUUUAGUCAAUAAACUAUUCCCUGUAGCUGCCUCAUUUAAUUCAAAAUAAGAAUAAAGAAACUGAGGAUGGAAUUGAUCAAAAUAAAAACAAAAACAAACUAAUCAUCUCACUGAACAGAGGCUGUGCAUAUUUAGACUACAUGACUUGCUAAGCCCUAUCUGGAUCAGAAUCUUCCUCAGCUAUUUUCACAUGGGAGCCUUAACAUUAAAAAUAAUCAUUUUCCCAAUUCUAGUACCAAGAAUGAAAGUAGCUUAAUUUGAAUUACCCUUCCAGAGGUGAUAAACUCUGGAUAAAAUAUAAAAGUUAACUAUUUAAUGCACUGGAGAGCAACCAAAAGUAGGCAGAAAUUGAAGGGGAUUGAAUUCUUGAAAGAAAGGGAAUGCAACUGGGUGAUAACAUAAACAUUUAUGUGACUUCACUUAAGGGAACACUAAAGUCUUCCCAUAUGCAGAAUGGCUAAUACUCAAGGGGAAACUUACAAGUGUAUUGCUUUAGGUGUCAGAGAAGUUUGUGUUUUCUAGAGCAGAUGGAAAUUAACAGAGCAAGUCCCAGAAAGCAGGACUUUCUAUAACUAAGGGAUUUUUCCUAAGACUAAAAGCUAAACUAAAAAGACCCUCCUAAUGAAGUGAAAAUAAAAGCUCUGUAAGUUCAAGAUCAGCCAAAAAUUAAAUUGCUAGCUAUAACUAAAGUCAUAACUCUUCACGGAGUUACUGGAAUCCAAAGUCUCUACAAUGUUCUUACAUAUGAUAUGAUACAAUAAUAAGGAGGCUUUGAUAUCUUGAGGAUGCUUACAGUAAUACCUUAAACAACUGCUAAAUAUAAAAUAAAAUAGAGGUAUGACCAAAAAGGGGGGCAAUAAAGAAAAUAAAAUGGAAUAGCAAAACAUUUCAUUAAUGCAAAAUAAGAUAGAAAAGGAGAAAGAGCAGGGGAUGAAGAGAUGCAACACAUAGGAAAAAAGCAGAAAAAUUUAUAUAAGCUCAAUCAUAGUAAAUUUUACAUUAAGGAUUCCAAUUAAAACAGAAUGCCAAACUAGACUUUUAAUAAAGCCUGUUGUCUACAAGAUGUACUUUUUGUUUUCUUUGAGAUAGAGUCUCAUUCUGACACCCCGGCUGAGUGCAGAGGCCUGAUCCUCACACCUGAACCUCACGAGUAGCAGGGACUACAGGCACAUGCAACCAUGCCUGGCUAAUCUUUUAAAAAUUUUAUUUGUAGAGACAGGUUCUUGCUAUGUUGCCAGGCUGGUCUAGAACUCCUAGGCUCAAGUGAUCCUCUUGCCUCAGCCUUCCAAAGUGCCAGGAUUACAGGCAUGAGCCAUCACGCCUGGCCAAGAGAUACAUUUUAAAUUAAAAGACAUAGAUAAGGUGAAAGGAAAAGAGAGGGGAAAAAUAUAUGUAUACACCCCCCCCCACACACACACAUAUAUAUAUAUAUAAAGAUAAGCAUUAAAAAUUAGUAUGGAAAUAUUAAUAUCAGACCAAGUAGAGUUUCAGACAAGGGAUAUUACCAGAAUUAAAAAGAUGUAUUUCAAGUGUUUGACAGAACAAAAAGGUGAUAGUCAAAUCUACAACUAUAGUUCAACAUUUGUAUAAUCCUCUUUAAUCGAUAAAAUUUUAAAAUAUAGUCAAUAUAGAGAAUAUUUAAUUAUACUAUCAACUACUUUGUCCUAAUUUGACAUAUAGAACAACACACAAAACUGCAG